UGCCCACUCUAGCCCAACCCCCUAUAGCCAAGAUACAAUAAAAAUACACUAAAUUUUUUAACUAAAACAUUCUUCAAACUUAGUAUAGGCGAUAGAAAAGACAAUCAGGCGCGAUAGAGACUCGUACCGCAAGGGAAGGAUGAAAUAAUAAUGAACAAGUAAAGCAAAAAAUAGCAAAGAUAAGCCCUUGUACCUUUUGCAUCAUGGUCUAGCAAGAACAACCAAGCAAAGCGAACUUAAGCUUGCCAUCCCGAAGCCCAAGCGAGCUACUUACAAGCAGCUAUCAUUGAGCAAACCCGUCUCUGUUGCAAAAGAGUGGGAUGACUUGUCAGUAGAGGUGAAAAGCCAACCGAGCUGGGUGAUAGCUGGUUACCUGUGAAAUGAAUCUAAGUUCUACCUUGACAUAUUUUUCCCCACGGACUUUAACUACCCUAAUGAGAAUAAUCAAGAGUAAUUUAAAGGGGGUACAGCCCCUUUAAAAAAGAACACAACCUCUCCUAGCGGAUAACUUCAAACCCUAGACAAUAAUUGUAGGCCUUAAAGCAGCCACCAAUAAAGAAUGCGUCAAAGCUCCCCCUCAAAAAAUACUGAAACCAUGCGACUCCCUUCUCAUCAACAGGUCAACCUAUGAUAAUAGGAGAAUUAAUGCUAAAAUGAGUAACCAGGACAUGCCCCUCUCAAGCGCAAACUUACUCCCCCAACAAUUAACAGAACCAAUACCCAAACUCCAACAAGACCACAUAUUAUUACCCACUGUUAACCCAACCCAGGAGCGCAUACUAGAAAGAUUAAAAUCCACAAAAGGAAUUAGGCAACCUCAAGGCCCGACUGUUUACCAAAAACAUAGCCUUCAGCCAAACAAGUAUUGAAGGUGAUGCCUGCCCAGUGACUACAUGUUCAACGGCCGCGGUAUCCUAACCGUGCAAAGGUAGCGCAAUCAAUUGUCCCAUAAAUCGAGACUUGUAUGAAUGGCUAAACGAGGUCUUAACUGUCUCUUGCGGAUAAUCAGUGAAAUUGAUCUCCCUGUGCAAAAGCAGGAAUACAUACAUAAGACGAGAAGACCCUGUGGAACUUAAAAAUCACCAGCCACCUUACAACAAAACCCAACCUAAUAGGCUCACCCACAAUAAAACACUGGCUCACAUUUUUCGGUUGGGGCGACCUUGGAGAAAAUAAAUCCUCCAAAAAUAAGACCUCCCUCUUAACCAAGAGCAACCCCUCGACGUACUAAUAGUAUCCAGACCCAAUACAAUUGAUUAAUGGACCAAGCUACCCCAGGGAUAACAGCGCAAUCUCACCCAAGAGUUCCUAUCGACGGUGAGGUUUACGACCUCGAUGUUGGAUCAGGACAUCCUAAUGGUGCAGUCGCUAUUAAGGGUUCGUUUGUUCAACGAUUAACAGUCCUACGUGAUCUGAGUUCAGACCGGAGCAAUCCAGGUCGGUUUCUAUCUAUGACGAACUUUUCCUAGUACGAAAGGACCGGAAAAGUGAGGCCAAUGCUUCAACGUACGCCCCCUCUCUAAGUAAUGACUUCAACUAAAUUACCAAGAGACCCUUCACGACACCCAACCCUAGAAAAGGGAUC
rnacentral:rRNA from 1 species